UGGUUUAAUUCGACGCAACGCGAAGAACCUUACCUGGCCUUGACAUGCAGAGAACUUUCCAGAGAUGGAUUGGUGCCUUCGGGAACUCUGACACAGGUGCUGCAUGGCCGUCGUCAGCUCGUGUCGUGAGAUGUUGGGUUAAGUCCCGUAACGAGCGCAACCCCUAUCCCUAGUUGCUAGCAGUUCGGCUGAGAACUCUAGGGAGACUGCCGGUGACAAACCGGAGGAAGGUGGGGAUGACGUCAGGUCAUCAUGGCCCUUACGGCCAGGGCUACACACGUGCUACAAUGGUGCGUACAGAGGGCUGCAAACCCGCGAGGGGGAGCUAAUCUCACAAAACGCAUCGUAGUCCGGAUCGGAGUCUGCAACUCGACUCCGUGAAGUCGGAAUCGCUAGUAAUCGCGAAUCAGAAUGUCGCGGUGAAUACGUUCCCGGGCCUUGUACACACCGC
rnacentral:rRNA from 1 species